UUAGAAAAUCCUUUUGAAGAUGCCUCAUAAUAUCUGCAAAGAAGGGCUACGCUCCGAUACUAGCUGUGACGGAACCUCCCAAGUAAUUAGACCCACCUACAGUUGUCCUUGUCCAACAGACAUCAGACACCCUGUAGAUGUUCCUAAGUCACUUGACAAGUUUGGUAUCUUUCCUUACCUUACCAGGAACGUUUCACCCGUCUUGCAGACAUUACAGAACAUCGGAGAUAAAGAAAUGCGGAAGCAAUUACAUAAACUUACAUUUGUUUAGAAAGUAAGAUCAAGUUACUUUUUACAGACCAGAGCUAUAAACGAGUGCUGAGUAUUAUUAUUACACAUAUCAAGGGAGGCAGAAACUCCUCCCGAUAGCUUUUAAACAAAAAGAUCCUAUAUGGAGGACCACGUCCUCCCGCAUCUUCACUCUUGUUUUUCUUCAUUUGGUACCACCUUGGAGCAAAAGCAACAAAAAUUUGUCGCUUCCUCACCUAAAAACAACAAAGGGAUAAACCCUGAGUAUGGAAUUACUCAGCAAGUCUUACCCGACUAAGGAAAAGACUCUCAAGGGUAUGCUGGAUAAAUAGGAGUCAAGGAGAGGCUUUAGCAAAAAUCAACUUAUACUUUUGCAGAAGUAGCUUACUAAAGUGAGUCCUUACUUUCAAUCUUUUAACGCCAUAUUAAGUAUUAAUAGACUCUAUUUGCAUCUAGUCUAAUUUCACAUCACAUCAAGACAACAUCAUUUUUAUCCAUAGUGUUCACAUCCUGACUUUAGGUUGCAGGUCAGUGAUCAAGUCUCCACUCUCCGGGGAUAUAACGGCGAUCCGAAUCGAUUUACUCAGCUGAGGAUCUCUAACCACACGACAUAUGUAGCACUUAAUCCUUCCAUAUGUCAACUCGACCCCAGGGUUCUUAAGACCAGAUUAGGUUCACGCAAACCGAGAGCACAGAUACACCACCGUCCAGCCUCUUGCCACGGAGGGUACACGCUACUCCUGCCACCGCUCCACGCCCAUUUCGUGUUAUCUUAUUCUGGCCUUAGUCUGCCCGAGGCAAAGCUUGCCCUGUCCCAUUUCCAGGGUAUGCGGCUAGCUAAGAUAGUCCUUGCUCUAUCAAGCCUACAUACGCAUUCAAUCCUUAAUCAACCUGGGUAGAACAUCACCUGUUCCUAGCCCAAGUCUCGAUUUAAGUAUUUCCAUCCUUAGGAUUGUUUCUGUUCCUUAGGAUGAAAAGAGCAUCAUAGGGAACUUUGCAGUAAGAUCCCACCAUGCUCCCAAUGAAAAUAUAUUCUUGCAGGUAGAAGUCAUCUUUCCUCAGGAUAACCCCUGAGCAAGGCCUUAACGCAAAAGACAACUUCCAUCCACAAGAUCUAAGCAGGGCUAAGCAUUUUUGUAAAUCAAAUUUUGAUACUUCCAAGAAGUAUCUAUAACGGGUAUGGAUAUCAAGGAAGGCAAUGCAUCAAAGGGUUUCAAGCAACUCCUAUAAACUUAAUGCACAUUUCACUAGACUUAAAGUGUGCGAAAAGUAUUUAAAAACACAAGGAAGGGUUUGCAUGCACCGGGGCUUGCCUUUGUUUAUAGAUGAGUUAGUCUCAGGCCCGCAGAUGUUAAAGUAGAGACGAGACCCUGCCUGAGACUCCAAAGGUGGUGUUGUCUUCGCUUCAGGGACUUCCACUUCUUCUUCGCGUUCUAAAUAUAACCAUAUAGGUAUAUAUAAGAAUGAAUGCCAUGUAAUGCAAACUCUUACAAGGAGAGGUGGAGAACAGAAACACUACAACUAAAGCACAUGACAAGAAUAUACCUAUUUCUUAUUGCUCGAUUAAAGUGACCAAAUUGAAAUCACUUGGGUAAACCAGGGAAUUACCCCAACCAAGGUCUCUAGCAAAAGCUUAAAACUCCUUAAGUAACUUCAUCCAAGGGUCAAGAUCUCACUAGAUCAACAUGCCUCUGCCCCAAAAGCACUUAGUUCCAUAAUUAAGUAAGGAUUUAAUAACUAUUUUUGGAAUUUUUCUGUGAUUUCUAACAUAAUUUAUAAGCUCUUGAUAAAAGAAAAGACAAGGCUAUCAACAGUGUUGGGCCCCAAAUUGCUGGCGCGACCCAACAACCAGGCAAAGCUGGCACAAACCCGGGAGCCCGCGCCCGCUUUGGCCAUCUUGCACAAAGGACCUUGCGCUCUGGUUAAAAUAAUCCGAGCUCCCAGCCACUGUUGCUUGUGUCUCUGACAUCUUCGCUAAAACCCCUCGGCUACCACUGUUUUACAAGCACUCGGCCCUGACACUGCCCGCUCGCACUCCGGUGACCCAGUGCCAGCUCGGCCAUGGUGGCGCAACACCGGCGACGGCGAUGGUACCCACGUGAACCCCGAAUCGCAGUGAACUCGGGUAUGGGCUCAAUCGAUCCGUGAGAACUCCACAACCCAUCUAUCGACAGCGAUGGCAGAGCACUGGAUUUGACGAACUUAAUUCCCCGAUCACCGCACGGUAGUGUUCAAACAAACGGGCCAGGGAGCUUUAGAGACCUCUCGAGUCUACGAUGCGCGCAUGCAAUCGCUCGGGAACUGGCGUGGUUAAUAUAGUUCACACCGAGGCUGUCCUCGGCGCCCGACUGCGACGGCGCGACCAUGUUCUACUCAACGUAUGGUGGUAAAGCUUGAACAAACCACUUGAUCAGCUUCACUGAUCAAUACAGAGCAUGGAACACAAGCCAUACGGGUGAGAAACUUUCUAAGCAUACCUGGCCACGGUGAAGUGGAGGAUCUGCAGGUGUUCAGUGCCUUGAUUAAUGGAUUUGGGGCGUGUCCAGGUUAUGAUUUUGGAGGAAGGGAACACAGUACAACUAACUGAAGCUACACAUGGUGAUCAAGAACUGAGACAAGGAUUACUCCUCUGCUCCUGCUCCUUUCCCCCCAUGGUUUGCUCUUUAUAUAGGCAGUGAAAGGAUCAAGGGGCUGGAUUUUUGAUCUUGCAACAAGGAUAACUAUGAAUACUAGGUGCAGUUGUGGCUCCCUCCAGAAGAUCCACGCAAUUAC
rnacentral:lncRNA from 1 species